AACGAACGCUGGCGGCAGGCUUAACACAUGCAAGUCGAGCGCCCCGCAAGGGGAGCGGCAGACGGGUGAGUAACGCGUGGGAAUCUACCGUACCCUACGGAAUAGCUCCGGGAAACUGGAAUUAAUACCGUAUACGCCCUACGGGGGAAAGAUUUAUCGGGGUAUGAUGAGCCCGCGUUGGAUUAGCUAGUUGGUGGGGUAAAGGCCUACCAAGGCGACGAUCCAUAGCUGGUCUGAGAGGAUGAUCAGCCACAUUGGGACUGAGACACGGCCCAAACGCCUACGGGAGGCAGCAGUGGGGAAUAUUGGACAAUGGGCGCAAGCCUGAUCCAGCCAUGCCGCGUGAGUGAUGAAGGUCUUAGGAUUGUAAAGCUCUUUCACCGAUGAAGAUAAUGACGGUAGUCGGAGAAGAAGCCCCGGCUAACUUCGUGCCAGCCGCCGCGGUAACAC
rnacentral:rRNA from 1 species